rnacentral:lncRNA from 1 species
AUGACAAGACAUUCUAAUCCAAGGAAAGGUUAUGAAAUUGGCUUCCUUCUCCUUGCCUUCCAUGAUGUGUGUGUAUAUAUAUAUAUAUUCAUCUUUUUCUCAUCAUUAAUAAUGGAGGUAUUUGUCACCUGCUCUUCGACCAGCACCUCCAUCUGCUUCCACCAGCCCUGCAUCCUGCCCUGCAUCCAGCUUCCAGACUGGACUCCUCGACACAUCCCUACACAUGCUUCUUCUAUAAGAGGAGGCUGUCCUGAUCUAGAGGUGGAUGGAGAAGAGGCAGUCAGAGAAUGCGUUUGUUCCUCACGACUUCUGACUUCUGCUCAGAAAGACCAUUUACUUAGGUGAUGAAGUCUGGACAGAUGCCUAGGGCUCACUAGCCAGCAUGUCAUUGUACCUACCAUGCUCUGGCUGACUUUCCCAUGAGCAGCUCUACCCAGCCCUCACCGUCUCACAAGCUCCCAGGGAACAAUCCCCUAAAUGUAUGUUUUCCUCUCUUUCCUGCUUGAUCUAUUAAGAUUAAACGCAAUGGUUCAUUUCCCAAAACCGUCAGCACCACUGACAAUUGCUGCAGUAACUUGUUACAAUGGAGACUACUAUUUUAAUUAAAAUCACCAUGGAAACAAUGGGGCCCACACAGGUAAUGCCAGGGUGGGGUGGGGAGGGCAGAACCAAAGUGGGGUGUGUCUCGG